CAUUAGUUUCAAUUGUUUGUAAAUGGACCACCUAUUUGCAUCUAUUUUUAAAAUGGAUGUUUUAUGCCUUAGGACCGCAUAUGGUGGAAAUGCCAUUCAGUCCGCAUGAAACAAUUUUUCUUUCCUUGGUUUAAAUAAAUGCAUCUUCAUCAAAAAUGGGAAAAAAAAACAUAAUUUUUGGGUUAUCAUAUUCAUGAGGUUUAUUGCUGGUUACCAAACUUGUAGCAUCUCUCAAUGUUUUUUUUUAUGAGAAAUGUUUUGGUUAGUUUGGAACCUACCUAGUACACUUGUGCAUACGAAAAAGUUUUCAUAUAACAAUUCUUCCCCAUCUCAAGAGGUAUUGAGGUUUUUUCACACCAAUCGCUCCAUCUUAUGGUAAACUAUUUUGCCACAAGGUAAAUUCAUAUGAAAAACCUCCACACGUCUUGACAAGAGGAAGUGCUUUCAUAUGAAAUUUUUUCAUGUAAAUUUCUUCAUACAAACCAAAUGUACCCUUAGGUGAAAUUGAUAAAAUAAUCAUAAAGAAAAGAAAGAGAGGAUGAUCUGUUACAAUUAACACCUUUGAGCUCGAUCUUUCUUAAAUUCUCAUAGUACAUGACUUGGAGUGGAUUUUUUGUAUUUUGAUUUCUAGAUGAUUUGUGAGGUGAUUGGAAUCAUAUGCAUACACAAACAUUAAUGAAAGGGUGGCUUCUGUAUAAGAUGCCCACUUAUAUUACACAAGUACAACACAUUUUAAUAUUUUUUGGAAGAUGUAGUUUAGGUCUCGAAAACUCAUAACUAUUGAAAAUCUUCAAGAUAAAUGGUCUAUGUAACUUGUUACAAGAUGUACUAUUUUUAAGAUUUAAAAUUAUUAUUAUUUUUAUAUUCAUACAUGUUGAGGUCGAGAUGAUGAAUUGAAAGAUUUUGCAACUGAACACUAAUAUAAAAAGAUUUUUUAACAAAAUUGAAGCAACUGCGAGCCCUAUUGUCCUUCAUGAGUAUCCCAUACAAAUAAAUGGAUAGCGCUCAAGGUUGCUUUUAGGGUUACAAAAAAACGGAUCAGGAGGGUAGAUUGGAUCCCCUUUGCACCAAUUUGGAUCGGUUGGUGCAAGUGACACGCCUGGUCUACAACAAAAAAUAAAAAAUAAAGCAAAGCAAAGAAAAGAUGUUAUAUAGAUUUAUCUUAUGUUUCUGUGACGAUUUAAGUCCUAAAUUAAAUAUAAGAAACAUGGAUUAUUUGGUAUAACCGAGAGAUCAUGGCUGAUUCUUGAGAGAGAAUCGGCCCAAUCAACCCCCAUCCGAUCGCGAACCAUAGCAUUUGAAAGGAAAAUUUAUAAAAGUGCACUCAAGAGUUGAACUACUUAAUAUUUUAUCUAUUUUUAAAAUUUAAUUUUGAAAAAAUUCAUCAAAUACAUGUAGAAUUAAAAUAAGUACAAUAUUAAAUACAGGCUAAGUAAAUUGUUUUUCAUAAGGCCAAAAGAUUUCAUGCUCCUGUUGGAACAUACUGUCCAGUUAAGCAAAACCUAAUCCAAGAGCAUUUUUAGGACAAAAUUUAUAUUAAAAAAACCCCAAGUUAGGCUUCUGCCCCAGGGAGCAAGUGUACAGUAUGCUCCGGUAUACGAGAGCAAAUGCUUUUGCCUUUAGAAAAGCAUAGAUGAUACUUGAUAGCUUCAUUUUGGUAGAAUUUAGCGUGAUUUGAAGCAGUGAAAAUGGCGGUGAGCGAUGUGCCCUCGAAAGAGGCGAGCGUGCUGCGAGGCCACGAAGGCGCAGUGCUCGCUGCGCGCUUCAAUGGCGAUGGCAACUACUGCCUCAGCUGCGGAAAGGAUCGCACCAUUCGCCUCUGGAACCCCCACCGAGGCAUCCAUAUCAAGACCUACAAAUCCCAUGGACGCGAAGUUAGAGACGUCCACGUUACAAGGGACAACUCCAAAUUAUGUUCUUGUGGGGGUGAUAGGCAAAUCUUUUAUUGGGAUGUGUCAACGGGUCGUGUAAUUCGAAAAUUUCGUGGUCAUGAUAGUGAGGUGAAUUCUGUGAAGUUCAAUGAAUAUGGAGCUUCCAUUAUAUCAGCUGGAUAUGAUCGUUCUGUGAGGGCAUGGGACUGCCGGUCCCACAGCACUGAGCCAAUUCAGACAAUUGACACAUUUUCAGACAGUGUGAUGUCUAUUUGUUUGACAAAAACGGAAAUUAUUGCUGGAAGUGUGGAUGGGACAAUUCGCACUUUUGACAUUCGUGUUGGUAGGGAAGUUGUUGAUGACUUCGGACAGCCUGUGAACUGCAUAUGCAUUUCAAAUGACAGUAACUGCGUAUUAGCAAGUUGCUUGGAUUCCACACUCCGCCUUCUAGAUAGGUCGACUGGAGAGCUCCUUCAAGAAUAUAAAGGCCAUACAUGCAAGUCUUACAAGAUGGAUUGUUGCUUCACAAACACCGAUGCCUAUGUCACUAGUGGAUCUGAAGAUGGACAGAUUUUCUUUUGGGAUUUAGUAGAUGCCAGUGUCAUGUCAUCUUUCAGAGCCCAUGCUUCAGUGGUAAGCACAAGUUUUGCACCUGGAUAAUGUUCUGCGAUAAUGAACAUUCUAACCAUCAAGCAGGUGAUCGAUUCUUAUAUGAAGCGUAGUCUUUUUUAAUGUAAUUUGCAACACCGGUGGCGUCUCCAUUCCAAAGUUCGAAGAUGCUUGGCCAAGGGGUAACGAGCGUGAGUUAUCACCCAAAAGAUAGUUGCAUGAUCACAUCCUCAGUUGAUGGCACAAUUCGUGUUUGGAAGACAUGAGUUGGUGUGUCCCCAUCGCUCAAAUAUUUGUAGCUUUUGUCUUGUGAUUUAUCCAAAAAGCUUCAAGUUCAAGGUUUCUUCUUAGUUCUCUGUCACAAUUGAUGUCAUUAUUUAGUGGGAGCUUCUCUGAACUAUUUGUUGUCUCGCACCUACGUAACUGCAUGUUGUCAAAAUUAAAACAGCAGAAAGGCAAGACAGAAAGAAGGAAUUUGAAGGAAAGGAAGGGUGAAACACACCGUCAAGUUGUAAUAGCAACGAGGUGCAUGUGUUACUGAAUCUUUUGCCAUCCCAACAUUAGCAGAAAACCUAUUAUCAAAUGAUUUCGAAAAACUUUGAAGUAAUUUUGCCUUUGGACGCUAUUGA